rnacentral:rRNA from 1 species
CGGGGUGCAGCAGGCGCGAAAACUUUACAAUGCGGGAAACCGUGAUAAGGGGACACCGAGUGCCAGCAUCAUAUGCUGGCUGUCCAGGUGUGUAAAAUACACCUGUUAGCAAGGGCCGGGCAAGACCGGUGCCAGCCGCCGCGGUAACACCGGCGGCCCGAGUGGUGAUCGUGAUUAUUGGGUCUAAAGGGUCCGUAGCCGGUUUGGUCAGUCCUCCGGGAAAUCUGAUAGCUUAACUAUUAGGCUUUCGGAGGAUACUGCCAGACUUGGAACCGGGAGAGGUAAGAGGUACUACAGGGGUAGGAGUGAAAUCUUGUAAUCCCUGUGGGACCACCUGUGGCGAAGGCGUCUUACCAGAACGGGUUCGACGGUGAGGGACGAAAGCUGGGGGCACGAACCGGAUUAGAUACCCGGGUAGUCCCAGCCGUAAACGAUACUCGCUAGGUGUCAGCCACGGUGCGACCGUGGUUGGUGCCGUAGGGAAGCCGUGAAGCGAGCCACCUGGGAAGUACGGCCGCAAGGCUGAAACUUAAAGGAAUUGGCGGGGGAGCAC